GUUAACUUUGCCCCAGGCGGAUGUUCCAAAUCGUGCUCCUCCUACUUCUGCGCCUCGACUUUCCAAACUGGUAUUUUCAAACCUGCAGCUCUUCGCGCCAGACGUACUACUUAGUUUUACAGAAGUGUUCAUCAGGAUCGAUCUCUACAAUUCAGGUAAGCACACAUUUUUUUACAGUAGCAGUCGUGCCACAAAGCUGGUACGGUGGUAGUUUCUGCGUUUGGCCAAAUUACCCGAGGGACGAAAGGGUGGACAAGGCUGUCCGAGGUGCCGAAGAACCUCAACCUGACUGGCAGACACAUGAUAUGAUUACUUGGUGGCAAGGCGAUGGUUAAAAAAGUAUGUCCUGUGACACAUCCGAUCUCCAUUCAGAAGAGGAGGCAAUUCCUAAAAGGAGAAAGCCAAUGCCUGUGUGAGUAAAUGUGUAUACAUUUUAUUCUUUAGAACUCUUUUACCUUAAUAAAAUAAAGUGUCUGUCAUUCAAUGUUAUAGUAUGACAAAUAAUAUUUGCCCCUCUUCCAACUAUUGCCCCUCCUCCACCACGGACUUCAUCACCAGCAGGACAGCGAACAAGCCAGGGGUACACACCAACCUGGCGAGGGGCGAGGUGUGGUUCAGACGCCAUUGCCUGCUGUGCUGCUCAAGUUUAAAUCCUGGCCAUGCUGGAGAUGCUUACACAGCAGGUCCAUCAAUUAACUGGCAAAGUUGACAGCUUUGUUCGCCCCAGUGUGAUACAAAUGUCUGGUCAAGAAGUGGAGUGGAGAGACCCGUUUCCGUUGACCACAAUGGAGGAAGUGGACCUGUUUGAGCAACAGCUCAAAGAUCCAGCCAACGCUAUAAUGAAGAAGAGUGUGACUUCAUCACCAGCAGGACAGCGAACAAGCCAUGCAGGGUACACACCAACCUGGCGAGGUGUGGUUCAGACACCAUUGCCUGCUGUGCUCAAAGAUCCAGCCAACGCUAUAAUGAAGAAGA